AUGACUGUCAACAAUCUCCAUUUACCUGAAACAAUGACGGUCAACAUACUCCAUUUACCAGCGGCUCGAUGGUUGUGGGCCAGAUCUAAUGGCUUGCAAAAGGGAUUGUUCAAAUUAGUAAAAAGUAAUAUUGAAGCCAAAUUACUCAAAACCAAUAUUGGACUUCCAUAUACCUGGACCUUCUUUGGGGAGUCUAUUAACAUUGGUGAUAUCACCAAGAGGGUAUUUGAGGCCAUUUUUCACAUCCAUUUGUCGCUGUCGGUGUUCCUGUUGUUUCUUCUUCUGGUAAGAUUCUGGUCUCUAUCUAUUCAACUUAUGAUUUGUUCUUGGUACUGUUCCUCUUCUUUUUCUGUUGUUUUUGUAAGCUGCUCUUCCAUGCAUUUAUGA
rnacentral:rRNA from 1 species